rnacentral:sRNA from 1 species
GCCGGGUGCUGUGGCGGGCACCUGUAGUCCCAGCUACUUGGGAGGCUGAGGCGGGAGAAUGGCGUGAACCCGGGAGGCGGAGCUUGCAGUGAGCUGAGAUCCGGCCACUGCACUCCAGCCUGGGCGACAGAGCCAGACUCCGUCUCAA